CGGAGGGUGCAAGCGUUAUCCGGAUUCACUGGGUUUAAAGGGAGCGUAGGUGGGCUGGUAAGUCAGUGGUGAAAUCUCCGAGCUUAACUUGGAAACUGCCAUUGAUACCUAUUAGUCUUGAAUAUUGUGGAGGUCAGCGGAAUAUGUCAUGUAGCGGUGAAAUGCUUAGAGAUGACAUAGAACACCAAUUGCGAAGGCAGCUGGCUACGCAUAUAUUGACACUGAGGCUCGAAAGCGUGGGGAUCAAACAGGAUUAGAUACCCUGGUAGUCCACGCCCUAAACUAUGGAUACUCGACAUACGCGAUACACUGUGUGUGUCUGAGCGAAAGCAUUAAGUAUCCCACCUGGGAAGUACGAUCGCAAGAUUG
rnacentral:rRNA from 1 species